rnacentral:rRNA from 1 species
CUAUACAUGACUCUGCGCAUAUCAAUAAGCGGAGGAAAAGAAACUAACAAGGAUUCCCUUAGUAACGGCGAGUGAAGCGGGAAGAGCUCAAAUUUGAAAUCUUCAAGGUUCUACCUUGACGAAUUGUAGUUUAUAGAAGUGUUUUCUGUUAGUGGAGUGGCAAAAGUUCUUUGGAAUAGGACAUCAUAGAGGGUGAGAAUCCCGUAUUUGGUCAUUCCUCCUAGCGUUGUGAUACACUUUCAACGAGUCGGAUUGUUUGGGAAUGCAGUCCGAAAUGGGUGGUAAUUUCAUCUAAAGCUAAACUAUUGGCGAGAGACCGAUAGCGAACAAGUACCGUGAGGGAAAGAUGAAAAGAACUUUGAAAAGAGAGUUAAACAGUACGUGAAAUUGUCAAAAGGGAAGCGUUUGACACCAGUGUUGUUUUUCCGAAAAUCAAUUACGAAUGUUUUAUUUUUGAGAAGUUAUGACUUCAUCGGCUUGCUUCUCUCUUUAUGAAACUUUCUUAAUGCACUUUUCGGCUAACAAGUCAACAUCAAUUUCUUUUGCUGUAAAAGAGUCAUUGGAAGGUGGCUUUCUUUUCGGAGAAAGUGUUUAUUGCCUUUGACUUCUGCAGUCGGAGAGAUUGAGGUCUGCAGCGUAGAUCCUUCGGGGUUAGAUACAUUUGUGCUAAGCUAUAGCCUUUCAUAGACAACUUGUUGACUAUGAUCAGUCAUGUAGCUUACUCGCUUAUGCUAUUUUACCUACGCUUAGGAUGUUGACACACGCGCGUGCUC